rnacentral:lncRNA from 1 species
GUCCUCUUUGAGUGUUAAAGGAAAUUAAGACAACAGAGCAACUUUAUCUCAAAGUGAUUUCUACUCUUGUGUAUUUUUAUUGCAGGCGUAAGACAGAGUAUGGAAGACGUGUAUUUUGGAUCUUAACUGUCCUCUUUUACAAGGAAUCUAAAAAUAAGUCUUUUCUUUUGGAGAAAAGCCAAACAAUUGCAUGUUUCCAUAUUUUAGAGAAAAUAAAUU